AAAAAGCUUGAAUACGCGUGAAAUAUUCCUUAAAAAGGAAAAGGCAUCGUUAGGGCUUGGCUAAAACAUUAUCAGAGUUUGCAACGGAAGGCGUAACUGAAAUAAUCAGUGUUUACAGCGGAAUGCAUAACUGAGAUACAUGUAUGAAGACAUGUACCCUUUCUGAGCCUACUUUAAGUUCGACAAAAACUCCACUCAGCAACAACACUUCAUCGCCCAUCACAGCUCAACCUGCACAAACAUAAACAUCGAAGGGCUAAGUACAAG
rnacentral:lncRNA from 1 species